rnacentral:rRNA from 1 species
AGAACGAACGCUGGCGGCAUGCCUAAUACAUGCAAGUCGAACGAACACUUCGGUGUUAGUGGCGCACGGGUGCGUAACGCGUGGGAAUCUGCCCUUGGGUUCGGAAUAACAGUUGGAAACGACUGCUAAUACCGGAUGAUAUCGAAAGAUCAAAGAUUUAUCGCCCAGGGAUGAGCCCGCGUAGGAUUAGCUAGUUGGUGAGGUAAAGGCUCACCAAGGCGACGAUCCUUAGCUGGUCUGAGAGGAUGAUCAGCCACACUGGGACUGAGACACGGCCCAGACCUCCGUACGGGAGGCAGCAGUAGGGAAUAUGGACAAUGGGCGCAAGCCUGAUCCGAGCAAGUCGCCGCGUGGAGUGAUGGAAGGUCCGUUUAAGGGGUUAGUAAAACGGUCUUACCGUUUUAACCCGAGAUAGAAUAAUGACAGUAGUCGGAAGAAGUAACGGCCCCGGUACUAACCGUCCGUCGCCACGCGAGCCGUA